ACGAACGCUGGCGGCGUGCCUAAUACAUGCAAGUAGAACGCACAGUUUAUACCGUAGCUUGCUACACCAUAGACUGUGAGUUGCGAACGGGUGAGUAACGCGUAGGUAACCUGCCUGGGAGCGGGGGAUAACUAUUGGAAACGAUAGCUAAUACCGCAUAAUAUUAAUUAUUGCAUGAUAAUUAAUUGAAAGGUGCAAUUGCACCACUACCAGAUGGACCUGCGUUGUAUUAGCUAGUAGGUGAGGUAACGGCUCACCUAGGCGACGAUACAUAGCCGAACUGAGAGGGUGAUCGGCCACACCGGGACUGAGACACGGCCCAGACUCCUACGGGAGGCAGCAGUAGGGAAUCUUCGGCAAUGGACGAAAGUCUGACCGAGCAACGCCGCGUGAGUGAAGAAGGUUUUCGGAUCGUAAAGCUCUGUUGUAAGAGAAGAACGGGUGUGAGAGUGGAAAGUUCACACUGUGACGGUAGCUUACCAGAAAGGGACGGCUAACUACGUG
rnacentral:rRNA from 1 species